rnacentral:rRNA from 1 species
CCCUUAGACGUUCUGGGCCGCACGCGCGCUACACUGACGGAGCCAGCGAGUAUAAACCUUGGCCGAGAGGUCUGGGAAAUCUUGUGAAACUCCGUCGUGCUGGGGAUAGAGCAUUGUAAUUAUUGCUCUUCAACGAGGAACUCCUAGUAAGCGCAAGUCAUCAGCUUGCGUUGAUUACGUCCCUGCCCUUUGUACACACCGCCCGUCGCUACUACCGAUUGAAUGGCUUAGUGAGGCUUCCGGAUUGGUUUAGAGAAGGGGGCAACUCCAUCUUGGAACCGAGAAGCUAGUCAAACUUGGUCAUUUAGAGGAAGUAAAAGUCGUAACA